rnacentral:misc_RNA from 1 species
AAGUCGUAACAAGGUUUCCGUAGGUGAACCUGCGGAAGGAUCAUUAACACGUAUCCAACACGUAGCCCAGGAGGAACAGCAAUCCCGGUAAAUCAAUGGCGGAAAAGUUUUGAUUCGGGACCUCUGUCCAAAAGGUAUCAAGUUACAAUCGAGCUAGGAGCAGUGGCAUGGUUUCCCUAAGCAGUGCAGAAGGAUCCACUGAGUAAGGAUAACGCAUCACGGUUGCCAGAGGUCGAUCACCGGCCGGCAGACAUGUCACAGGGCUUUACGCCCCUUCAUUCACCCCUUGCCUAAUCAAGCCCCGCGGAAACGCCGGGCAAAAAAAUCUGAACAACUGUUAACAAUGGAUAUCUUGGUUCUC